ACAGGCAAAUCUGGAGAGUGCUGUAUAUACACAGCCACCGAAGGGGCACACGAUAUUUUCGUAAUCUCUCAGGUAAAGAGGACAGAUGGGGCGAG
rnacentral:ncRNA from 1 species